GACGAACGCUGGCGGCGUGCCUAAUACAUGCAAGUAGAACGCUGAAGGAGGAGCUUGCUUCUCCGGAUGAGUUGCGAACGGGUGAGUAACGCGUAGGUAACCUGCCUGGUAGCGGGGGAUAACUAUUGGAAACGAUAGCUAAUACCGCAUAACAGUAGAUAUUGCAUGACAACUGCUUGAAAGGUGCAAUUGCAUCACUACCAGAUGGACCUGCGUUGUAUUAGCUAGUUGGUGAGGUAACGGCUCACCAAGGCGACGAUACAUAGCCGACCUGAGAGGGUGAUCGGCCACACUGGGACUGAGACACGGCCCAGACUCCUACGGGAGGCAGCAGUAGGGAAUCUUCGGCAAUGGACGGAAGUCUGACCGAGCAACGCCGCGUGAGUGAAGAAGGUUUUCGGAUCGUAAAGCUCUGUUGUAAGAGAAGAACGAGUGUGAGAGUGGAAAGUUCACACUGUGACGGUAUCUUACCAGAAAGGGACGGCUAACUACGUGCCAGCAGCCGCGGUAAUACGUAGGUCCCGAGCGUUGUCCGGAUUUAUUGGGCGUAAAGCGAGCGCAGGCGGUUAGAUAAGUCUGAAGUUAAAGGCUGUGGCUUAACCAUAGUACGCUUUGGAAACUGUUUAACUUGAGUGCAAGAGGGGAGAGUGGAAUUCCAUGUGUAGCGGUGAAAUGCGUAGAUAUAUGGAGGAACACCGGUGGCGAAAGCGGCUCUCUGGCUUGUAACUGACGCUGAGGCUCGAAAGCGUGGGGAGCAAACAGG
rnacentral:rRNA from 1 species